CAAGCCGCUAACAAUGUGAUAUCUAACAGCUAGCAUACUGAUAAAAAUAAUUUUGUGUUUCCAUAUGCUACCCGAUUACCCGACCCGAUAAUGACAAUAACGAGUAAUGGAAAGACUCUAUUUUGUAUUGCAAAAAUUGUUCUACUUAGCCGGGGGCAGAGUUGAAACGAGCUUCACGAGAGCUUGAGCUUUAGCUCAAAAGCUCACUCAUUUUGUGAGCUUUGAGCUUGAGCUUCGCUCUUUUUGAAAAAGUGUAAGCUUGAGCUUGAGCUUUUGCCUCAUGAGCGGAAGCUCGCACUUGUGGCGCCAUCUAGCGGCCAAAAUUGAAAGUGGUUGCCGAAAUGAGACAAGUCUUCACGUUUGGAGGUGGAGAGCUGUCUGUGCUACUUGCUAAUAGCCUAGCCUAUACUAGAUGCUUAUGCUUACAGUUACAGUUUAGUGAUUGAACUGAACAAAUAAAAACAUAAACUUGAAAUCUGAAACUGAAAGUCUUAAACUCUUUAGAGAGUAGAGACUAAUGAGAAAUGGCGUCAAAAAAGCGAACAGCUUCUACAAGUUUACAAAGUCAAAGUCAUGUGGGUGCUGUAGGUGGUGAUGAUCAAGUUGAUUGUGAAACUGUAAAUGUAGAGAAUAAUGAUUCUGGCAGCGAUGGGCAUGAUUCUGGCAGAUUUGUCAUUCUCAUUCAAUGUUAGACCAUUGAGCAUUGACCGCUUUCUCAUGAAAGCAAAUCUGAAAAAAAUACAAUGUUUUGAUUGUCAGUU